AAUUAUGCGUCAAAUAUCAUUUUUAUGACCUACUCAUACUGUAUCUACCUUUUUUAGAAUUUUCGUCUGUCUGUCUCUCUGUCGGUUUGUACCUUUAUAACUAAUCAACCACUUAUCUGAUUGAGAUGAAAUUUUUUAUACAUAUACAAGAUGCUGUCACUUAAAAUAUAGGCUACUUUUUAAAUCAAUUAUAAAUCAGAAUUCGGAUUAGAUUUUGUUUCAUUUAUCAAUUGUUUCUGUCAAUUGAAUCGUCUAUCACAUUUCAUUAAGCAGUCAAAAUAAGAGUGUCUAAUCUGACUUAUUUGUAACUAAGAUUAAAAAGACAAAAUUACGUAUCUUACGCAAUAUGUAAAAUAAAUGAAGAUCAUAACCUAUAAAUAAUCAUUUAUAUUAUUUAUAAACAAUUUUUGUGCAUUAACUUAUAUAAAAAAUUGGAUU